rnacentral:lncRNA from 1 species
AUUUACUAGAUGCUACUUGGAAAAUAACACAGUACUCUGUAGACCAGGAAGAGGAUGUUCACCAAGAACUCAAUCCUGCUGGAAACCUGAUCUCAGACUUCCAGACUCCAAAACUGUAGUGCAAAAUUCCACAUCCACAAAACCCACCUGGCCAGUGAUGGCUUGGGUAAGGACGGAGAAUGCAGUGGGAUCAGAACCCUAGAGUGGGCAUGAAGAGGAGAAAAAACAAAUUCUGAAAUCACCAUGGAAACACUACAGAGAACUCUGGGUUGCUGUUUUAGUUUUUCUGUUUUUUCCCAGGAAGGUAAAAGGUCAGCAACCAUUUGUGAGUGCUGGAAAUCCCACAUAACAGGAAAGGAGAGUAGAGGAGGAGGAGGAGAGAUAAAAUAUUUUAGAGAACAUUUAUAAACAUUCCUUGUAAAGUUGAUAAACAAUCUUUGAAAGACACAGAAUCCAAAAUACAUACGAAGAUUAUGUGGAUUACAAAAGAAAGCACUGCUCAACUUGACCCUAUCAGCUUUACCUGACUUCCUGGGAGGUACAGAACAAGGUACGUAUGGGGAUCCAGCAAUUCUGAAGACUACGCCAUGCCUCCAACAGAGGGCUUCUUGGGUUGAAAGUGUGUGGGUAACAUUUACCAUAACAAUAACUACCACAACUACAGCUAAUAAAUGCACUUAAGCAGA